GGCUGGGCCAGGGAUGUUUCACCAGUAGAACUCCCAGCCUUCCACAGAUACUUCAGCAAGGGAGACAGCCUGAAGCACGAGUGGUUAUUUUUGUCGUGCUUAAAAAUGUUUCCGCUUACCAGAGACUGAAGCUAGAUAUCUAUCGGGCGAAUGGAGCCAGAGCACCCCGCGCAACUACCCCGAGAGAGCCCAGGCCCUAUCUCGGUAGACACAAACUCUAUCCACACAUCUGGUCUCGGAAGGGUGAAAAUGCGUUAAAGAGUAAGAGUAAGCAGUUGGAUGUGUGGGACUUAACUAACAGGAGGAGGAAUUUAGGGCAUUGAAGAAAACGCCAAGCGAAGGCUCUCACACCAGAACCACCACCCCGGUUCCUAUUCCUGUAGAGAUUUCCGCAGUGUUAGGCGUUUACUUUUCUGAUAAAAGCGGAAAUGACUUAAGUUAUCCCUCAAGAGGUGCUUUCCUUUUAAUAGAUUUUUGAAGCCCUCAAGGAAAGAGGAUGCUAAAAGAACGUUUGCAGUGAGUCGGAGACUACAAGAGGGCCAGCGCAGCGCCCGCUAAAUCACACCUGAUGUUGCCAACCCCACCUACCUGUAUGACCCAUUGCACCUGUCACUGGGUGUAUCUCAGACUUUACAAUUCAUGACUAAGGCGCCUGCGUCAGGACAAAUGAAUUGUCAGCGCUCUGUUUGGGUGCUGGAGGUAAACCAUGUCAUUCUAGAAGAGUUUGAGGCCUUGGACAACACUAAUCAACCAAGUUGUUGCCAGGACACAAACCUGAUCUAACUCUGCUGCUUAAGAAGCUUCCAUGGCUCCCAGUCACCUACAGUAUGCGGGCCUCUCACUGUCGUGGCCUCUCC